rnacentral:rRNA from 1 species
UGAAUUGACGGGGGAGCACCACAACGGGUGGAGCUUGCGGUUUUAAUUUGGAUUUCAACGCCGGAAAUCUUACCGGGACCGACAGCAAUAUGAAGGCCAGGCUGAAGACUUUGCCGGAUUAGCUGAGAGGUGGUGCAUGGCCGUCGUCAGUUCGUACUGUGAAGCAUCCUGUUAAGUCAGGCAACGAGCGAGACCCACGCCCACAGUUGCCAGCGUACUCUCUGGAGUGACGGGUACACUGUGGGGACCGCCGCUGCUAAAGCGGAGGAAGGAAUGGGCAACGGUAGGUCAGUAUGCCCCGAAUAUCCCGGGCUACACGCGAGCUACAAUGGUUGGUACAAUGGGUAUCUACCCCGAAAGGGACGGGAAUCUCCUAAAACCAAUCUUAGUUCGGAUUGAGGGCUGCAACUCGCCCUCAUGAAGCUGGAAUCCGUAGUAAUCGCGUUUCAACAGAACGCGGUGAAUACGUCCCUGCUCCUU